AACGAACGCUGGCGGCAUGCCGAACACAUGCAAGUCGAACGAGAUCUUCGGGUCUAGUGGCGCACGGGUGCGUAACGCGUGGGAAUCUGCCCUUUGGUUCGGAAUAACAGUUGGAAACGACUGCUAAUACCGGAUGAUGACGAAAGUCCAAAGAUUUAUCGCCAGAGGAUGAGCCCGCGUAGGAUUAGCUAGUUGGUGUGGUAAAGGCGCACCAAGGCGACGAUCCUUGGCUGGUCUGAGAGGAUGAUCAGCCACACUGGGACUGAGACACGGCCCAGACUCCUACGGGAGGCAGCGGUGGGGAGUAUUGGACAAGGGGCGAAAGCCUGAUCCAGCAAUGCCGCGGGAGUGAUGAAGGCCUUAGGGUUAAAAAGCUCGUGUACCCGGGAUGAUAAUGACAGUACCGGGAGAAUAAGCUCCGGCUAACUCCGUGCCAGCCGCCGCCGUAA
rnacentral:rRNA from 1 species